CAGUCGCCGCGGGAAUACGGAGGAUCCGAGCGUUAUCCGGAAUUAUUGGGUUUAAAGGGUGCGUAGGCGGAUAGAUAAGUCAGUGGUGAAAGACGGUGGCUCAACCAUCGCAGUGCCGUUGAUACUGUUUAUCUUGAAUAUGGAUGAGGUAGGCGGAAUGUGGCAAGUAGCGGUGAAAUGCAUAGAUAUGCCACAGAACACCGAUUGCGAAGGCAGCUUACCAAGGCAAAAUUGACGCUGAGGCACGAAAGCGUGGGGAUCGAACAGGAUUAGAUACCCCAGUAGUCCCUGUCUCUAUACA
rnacentral:rRNA from 1 species